UUUAGGGAGACCUACUUUUCAGUCAGCAGUGACCAGUAAACAGUAAGCAAAAAAACUGGUAACUGGUAACUGAUAACUGAACACUGAAAAGACAUCCCGAGGUCGGUCGCAAUCUUAAGGUAAGCUUUCAAACUAUAAACAGGGUUCGAUUAUGGGCUAUUAGCUCAGGUGGUUAGAGCGCACCCCUGAUAAGGGUGAGGUCCCUGGUUCGAGUCCAGGAUGGCCCACCUCAAGAGAGUGAACAGUCAACAGCAAACAGUGAACAGUAAAAAACUGGUAGCUGGUAACUGGUAACUGAAAACUGACUUAGGGGGGUUUAGCUCAGUUGGUAGAGCGCCUGCUUUGCAAGCAGGAUGUCAGCGGUUCGAGUCCGCUAACCUCCACCUACUCCACCAAAAAAAAUCCCACCAAAAAAAUUGCUGAGAAGCAAGAAGCAAAAAAAGUGAGAGAAAACUUUUUUUUGGGGAAACGAGUGUGGUAGAAUGAGAAAAUGUGGGUGAAUUCAGCAAUAUGACGUUCGUCAGACUGCUGGGUGUGAACCAGCCAGAACCUUGAAAACUGCAUAGUGACGCGAAGCAGGUAGACACAGAGAUUCUAUGAUUGCAUGGAUGAAAGUGUUUGCUUAUAUAGAUAUCACCAAUUGUUGAGU
rnacentral:tRNA from 1 species